CACCGCUAGAGUGCAGUAGUCUACUCGCUGUUAUUGUAUCACUCCGCCGCUGAAGGGCAGCGUGUAAUGUCUGUAAUGUGCCGCUAGGGGCGGUGGAGAGGGGCUGUCUUCCAGUGAGUGAGGCGCUUGACGCCGGCAGAGGCUGUGGAAGAAAAGCCCUAAAAACGGACUGACGUUAUACUCUUUAGAUUGCUCUGUUUCCUUUAGCUGUGCUUUCAGACGGAAGUGUCCUGUUUUUGAGCAGAUGCGCUCGUUCCUAAAGGCCUUGCUGGUCUUCCCUCCGUGUCUCGUGUGUGUGUGUGUGUGUGUGUGUGGACAGCAGCUCCAUCAUGGGGGACACGAGAGAUCUGGACAGACAGAUCGAUCAGCUGAGGAGAUGUGAGCUCAUCAAGGAGAACGAGGUCAAAGCCCUGUGAUUUAUUAAUGUAGUAAACUGAAGCAGAGACUGAACGAGCGUGACACACAGCUCUGAUCAGGACACAGUCGCUCGAUCGUGUGGUAAUGUGGCAGCAAUCCUGGAGCUGGACCAGCACCUGCAGAAAGAGUUCAUCAUAUUCGAAGCUGCUCCAAAAGACACCAGAGGCAUUCCCUCCAAAAAAACAAUCGCUGACUACUUCCUGUGAGCCAGUCUGGAACAGGAAGUGCUGCCCUAUGUGUUCUUCUGUUUUCCUCGCAAUAUUUUUAAAGCAAUUUUUAUGUUAUUUUUAGUUCUAUAAGUAGUAUCACACUUUUUUCUGCUUUAGUUUUAAUUGGUAAUAACCCAGUUUGUGAGGUGGAGGGUGGUUCUGUGUUACUGUAUUGAGUUGAGCUGCGGUCGUCUCUGCAGGGAUGAGGAGGACACCAAGAGAGUGGUGCACAGUGCCAAAGACCAGGGGUGGUAAAAGUACUCAGAAGUUAUACUUCAGUAAAAAUAGACGAUCUAAAUAAAAAAUGACUCCAGUAAAAGUAGAAAAGUCCUCCAUUCGAACAUCACUUGAGUAAAAGUAUCCGAUUUAAAAUAUACUUAAG